rnacentral:rRNA from 1 species
GACGAACGCUGGCGGCGUGCUUAACACAUGCAAGUCGAACGGAAAGGCCCUGCUUGCAGGGUGCUCGAGUGGCGAACGGGUGAGUAACACGUGGGUGAUCUGCCCCUUACUUUGGGAUAAGCCUGUGAAACUGGGUCUAAUACUGGAUAGGACCAUGCUGUAGGUGGUGUGUUGGAAAGAUUAGUUUCGGUAAGGGAUGAGCUCGCGGCCUAUCAGCUUGUUGGUGGGGUAAUGGCCUACCAAGGCGUCGACGGGUAGCCGGCCUGAGAGGGUGGAAGGCAACAUUGGGACUGAGAUACGGCCCAGAAUCCUACGGGAGGCAGCAGUGGGGAAUAUUGCACAAUGGGCGCAAGCCUGAUGCAGCGACGGCGCGUGGGGGAUGACGGCCUUCGGGUUGUAAACUCCUUUCAGCCAUGACGAAGCCCUUGUGGUGACGGUAGUGGUAGAAGAAGCACCGGCUAACUACGUG